ACCAAGUGCGGAUUUGUGAGAGCUAAGAGAAGCGUUCAGGAAGACACAACAUAUAAUACUUUAAAGAAACCGAUGUUCUGCAAGUUCAGCCUGGAAUUUAACCAAAAACGGUUUUGUGCGUUUUCCACAUUUGGAAGGGCACAGCAAACGUCUAAAAGCGUGGAAGAAAUUGCAGGAGCCAUUUCUAAAUUCACAGAACCUGGCGCCACUGUCACUGACUUCAGUAUUGGCACUGAAGCUGGGGCUCUGGGACAAUGUUUGCAAGGAGUUGCAAGUGCCCAACACCUGUAUGAACAGGAAGAAAAUGGAUAUAAUUGCUAUCAAUUAUGCAAAGGAACCUUCAAUGGUCACAAAAGACUUGGAGGGGAGCAAGAAUGAAACGGAGAAGAGGCCCUCAGGGGAUGGCACACGCAUCAUGAUGGGACCGAACCCGGGUGAGGGCCUUAAUUCUGAAUCUAAAUCCUCACCCUGUAUUGAUUAGGUAAUGUCAUACAAUUGAAUGUUUCCAAGUACUUGACACUUUCAUAAAAAUGUCAAUCUGUAAAGUUAUGCUAGAAAUUGUUGACCAUUUAAACAACAAAAAAUUUUGAUGCGCAUGUUGGCACUGUAGUUGUUGCUACUUCAAACUUCCAAUUUAAUGCUGUCAUAUGUUUACCACUAAUAAGUUUAAAAAAAAAAUAAUAUUUUGGUAACUGACACCUGUUAGAGUCUGGAUCAGAAUGGGAACUCCUCGGAUUUCUGUCUUCUCUGCACCCGGCACUAGUGACCUGGACACCUUCCAAUACCCCUUGCCGCCACAACCUUGUUUCUUUUACAUCAGUAAAAGUGACUGGCAAUAUUUGAGAAGCAUGCAGACAGGCAGGUGCUUCCGUGGACUACAGUGGACCAAUGUUAUAGCCAAAGGUCUCAGAUCGGUAAAUCCAUACUGCACUUUCGUACUGCACCACUAUGUUAAAACCCUACUUUCAAAGACAAAGGCACCUCAUUUUCCCUGGUUCUCAUAUUGUCAUUUUGAGGCUUGCCCUGUUAAGGCUGCUGUGACAGUCACUGAGAGCAGCUUGAAAGCAGCAGCAGCAGCAGUGGUGUUCACAUGUGUCCCACAACACCCUGGAGACAAAAAGCAGGCCAGUCCAUACUGAUUCACGAAUGAAUACUGCAAACGUCUGCAGACAAAGCACCCCCGGAGCGUGGACUUGGAAUCUAUGCUCAUUUUGCCACAACUGUAGUACAAUCGGGGUGCAGGGAUGAUGCAGUGAGUAAGUGUUGAAAAAUACAGCAUGGACUCAAGAGGCAGAAGGAAAAAGACCACAUUCUGAUGAGGUCACAAGUCUCCAAACAAUUAUUGACAACCAGCAAGGAACUGAUGCUGAGGUCCUGCAGAAAGUGAUGCUGCACCCCAAAGGAAAUUUGUUGUGGUCCAAGAAAAGGCUCUGUGUUUUACAGAAGAUGCAAAGAGGACAUCGUUUACUUGGAUGCAACAAGUGGCAUCAUUGGAUGUGAGAAACCCAUCCAAGGGUUCAUCCCCACUGCCAGUAGCCACAUGCAUUACAUGUGACCACACAACCGCAUCGGUCAUAUUUCUGUUAGGAGAUUUAGGGCGCCAUGGUACCGGACCAGCAUACACACCUCAGUAAGCGUUAUAAAGAGGUCAGCCGUUCCUGGAAACGGGUAAUAUCUUAAUCAAAUUGGAAGCAUUUCUUUGAAUCAACAUGGAAUGCUUUGACUGGCUGCAUAGAAAAUUUGUAAUUCCAACAAGAGCCAUAUAUUGUAGAACUUCACAGUAGCAAACGGAACCCAAGGAAUCAUGGAGAAAAGCCAGUGGGACCUGAAGCAAAUUAGAUUCCAACGGAACACUGUGACCCGACUUUGUAACAGUUUCCAAAAGAUGCAUGAUACCCUGCUCCUGGAAUAUGCAGACACAGAACUAUCCAGAAAAAAGUAAGAUUUGACUCAGAAUUAGCACAUUACAUGGCUGUACAAAAACCCAAUAUUGACUCAUUGCAACUUAAGUCCCAUAGAGUGGAGGUUGAAGAGUAGUAGAAAGGCAGAGAGGGGCGCAAAGGUGUCUACAUCUCACAAUUACCAACAACUUUGCCAUUCAAGAAGCCAGAACCUGAGGUGCUGUGUAACUGUCUUGGGACUGGAACGGCCAAAAUACAUAUUGUAGUUAUUUUUGUCAAUGUUCUUCCGUCAAACAAUAGCAUUUGUGUUUGUGACCCCUUUAGAUCCGUACAUUGAGACAGAAGAAGGCACCGGUUUGUACCAAUCUUUUACCACACAUUAUAUCCUGUCUGUCAAUUUGUUUUUAAAACUUGCAACACAAAGAUUGUUUACUUUACAACUUUAUAGAAUAGUCAUUAUUGUGGUAUACUUGUAACCAAUGUUCAGUCGUUGCAAUUAAAGACCUGUUUUAAUAUUGUGAUACAUUAUACCGACAAAUGAUAAAAGCCAAUGUCUCACGCAAGUGGCUUCAAUGUCGAAGUAGAGAUGUUCUUUGAGGUUCACACCUCUGAAAGUGAGACCAGUUCCAUUGAGUUACAUAACAAUGCUUAUGGUGGCUGCUAAAAGCAAUACUGCUCUACUUAUGCACUCCACAACAGGAACAGCCAACAGCUGCACCCACAUCUGAAGAGACGCACAGGAGAGGACACGCAACCAUCUGUGCAACGGCAGAGUCCGAGAUCCAGUGCCUCUUCCAUCUUACUGCCAGUCAACUUAAUGUAUCAGACACAAUCUGCCUCAUGAACCACUGGAGUGGCUGGAGUGAUUGUGCAUGACAAGAGAAUUGUUCUGGAGGCAGAACUUGUCAAAAAUACAUUUUGAGAACUACAAAGCCAUUGUAUCCCGUGUCAACUAUAACAUUACACACUGGAAGUUUCUGUUGUAGUGCAUUAAUGCAGCAGAAGGUAGUCUACUUGCUUGAUCCUGUGCAAUCUACGACAGAGCUGGCGGAGUCUGAUCAUGCUGUGAAGAAAUUCCGGGAGUAUCUUAACAUGAGGACCUGAUUGCGUGGACAUAAAAUGGAAGGGCGGCCCCAUGACACACCCAUUUCAGCAGGAUGGAAGCAGUUGUGGUGUAAUUACCAUCAUGAUGGCACGGUCGCUAAUGGAAACAUUCUCAGACCCACCAAAUAAUGUGUUCCAAGCAGCGGUGAUGGAGAUGGCACAGGAAGGACAAAAACUGGCUCUUGCACUACUUCAGGCUUUAGUUUUUGAUAAGACUAACGACUGGGCUAUGUGCGGCACAACUUUAAGUACUGGACCUUCUCACACUGACUGGAUACAAUGUGGUGAAUGCAGCAGGUGGUUCCAUGUCCAGUGCUUGCCGAUAGAUGCAGCAGAGUACGAAGACGCAAGGACCAAGAAUUGGAAAUGCUGUCUGUGCGAACAGGACAUGGAAACGUCCGCCCUUUAACCCAUCCUGUCAGUGUAGUCACAUUUACAAGAUAAUAACUGUUAUUUUGAUGUUUGAAAGUAAAAGCAUGUCUGGUUUUUAAAUGCCUGUUGUCCUCUUCAUAUGUAAAUCGUCUAAAGGUUACGCAUCCCCGGUAAAUAUGUAUUUAUGCACAGAACAGGUGUGUGCGCAAACGGGCAUGCACAGGCGAUCCCGCACACACACGUCGAUAAACUGAAAAGACCUCACAUAGGUUCACAUAGGAUGCAUGCAGCUCAGUCAGGAAACGUUCAUGCGCACAGCCCUUUUCUGUGCGUCAUUUAGUCUUGUUCUCCCCCAGUCAGUCUUAACAUUGUUAGCUGGAAUGUGCGUGGACCUGGUGCUGGGCCAAAGACGCUGAAAGUGUUAAAUCAUCCAAAUGAUCUAAAAGCAGAAAUGGCUUUACUGUAAAUCAGCUGAUUCUCUCUUGUGCUGCUCAAAAUUUCCAUUCAUGUACUCUGCUAGUUACAACUCCAAACAAAGGAGUUGCUGUAUUAAAAACAUUAAAAUUUCUAAUAAGGAUACAGUAA